UGUGAGGUAGCCAGGCCUCGGUGAGGCAAGUAGACCUCUGUGAGGUGACCAGUCCUUGUAAGGUAACCAGACCUCUGUGAGGUGACCUGGUCUUUGUAAGGUAGCCAGGCCUCUAUGAGUUGACCAAUCCUCUAUGAGGUGACCAUUUCUCUGUGAGGUAACUAGGCCUCUGUGAAGUGACCAGGCCUCUGUGAGGUUACCAGGCCUGUGUGAGUUCAUCAGGUCUUUGUGAAUUGACCAGUCAUCUGUGAGGUAGCCAGGCCUCUGUGAGGCUACCAGUCUUCUCUGAGGUGACCUGUUCUCUGUGAGGCGUCCUGUCCUCUGUGAGGUGACCCAGCCCUUUAUGAGUUGGCCAGGCCUAUGCUUGGUGACCAGUCCUCUGUAAGGUGGAGGCGUACCUUCUUUCCCAGCUGCCAUUCUGUUCCAUGGAUGAUGCUGGCAAGUCCCAAACCCUCUCCAGCUAUCAAGAUGAACACCUUGCAGAAGAAAGAAGUCUGCCGCAGAGAAAGACGACUGGACGGGGCAGCUGGGAAGGGUUCUUACCACCAAGCCUGAGGCCCAAGUUUGAUCCCUAAAGCUCACACAGCAAAAGGAGUGGAACGGCUCCUGAAAGCUACCCUCUGACCUCUAUCUUAUGUCUCCUUCACAAAGAAACAAAUCAAGAUAAAUAAA
rnacentral:lncRNA from 1 species